rnacentral:piRNA from 1 species
UACAUAAUGCAGGUGGAUAGUGACUGG